rnacentral:lncRNA from 1 species
UAUAUCUCUCUCUCUCUCACUGUCUCUCUCUGUAUCUCUCUCACUGUCUCUCUCACUGUCUCUCUCUCUCUCACACUCACUCUGUUCCCGCCUAGAAAAUAUUACUCUCUAUAUCUGUCUCUCUCUCACUGUCUCUCUCUGUAUCUCUCUCACUGUCUCUCUCACUGUCUCUCUCUCUCUCACACUCACUCUGUUCCCGCCUAGAAAAUAUUACUCUCUAUAUCUGUCUCUCUCUCACUGUCUCUCUCUCACUGUCUCUCUCACUGUCUCUCUCUCUCUCUCUCUGUCGCUCACACUUACACUGUUCCUGCCUAGAAAAUAUUACUCUCUCUAUAUCUGUCUCUCUCUCUAUAUCUGUCUCUCUCUCUCUCUCUGUCUCUCUCUCUGUCUCUCACACUCACUCUGUUCCUGCCUAGAAAAUAUUACUCUCUAUAUCUCUCUCUCUCUCUCACUGUCUCUCUCUCUCUGUAUCUCUCUCACUGUCUCUCUCUCUGUCUCUCACACUCAGUCUGUUCCCGCCUAGAAAAUAUUACUCUCUAUAUCUCUCUCUCUCUCUCACUGUCUCUCUCUCUCUCUCUGUAUCUCUCUCACUGUCUCUCUCUCUGUCUCUCACACUCUCUGUUCCCGCCUAGAAAAUAUUACUCUCUAUAUCUCUCUCUCUCUCUCACUGUCUCUCUCUCUCUCUCUGUAUCUCUCUCACUGUCUCUCUCUCUGUCUCUCACACUCACACUGUUCCUGCCUAGAAAAUAUUACUCUCUAUAUAUCUCUCUCUCUCUCUCUCUCUCUCACUGUCUCUCUCACUGUCUCUCUCACUGUCUCUCUCUCUGUAUCUCUCUCUAUAUAUCUCAGACACACAGACUCACAUUGUUCCCGCCUAGAAAACAUUACUCUCUAUAUCUGUCUCUCUCUCACUGUCUCUCUCACUGUCUCUCUCACUGUCUCUCACACUCACACUGUUCCCGCCUAGAAAAUAUUACUCUCUAUAUCUGUCUCUCUCUCACUGUCUCUCUCUCUGUAUCUCUCUCUAUAUAUCUCAGACACACACAGACUCACAUUGUUCCCGCCUAGAAAACAUUACUCUCUCUCUCGGAAGACACACACUGUUAGGGUAAUGAUGAUGUUGAUGUGAGUUAGGGUAAUGUUAGGGUAAUGUUAGGGUAAUGUUAGGGUAAUGGUUGAUGUGAGUUAGGGUAAUGUUAGGGCAAUGAUAAUGUGAGUUAGGGUAAUGGUGGUAGAAGUCGUAGAGGGGGGAGUAUUGAGAGAUGGUUUAGAGAGGGUAAUGUUAGGGUAAUGGAUGCUGGGUGUUGUGUAGGUCGUUGCUCGGGUCGUUUUUUUGAUCCUCAGGGUUUGGCAAAGGUCAAAGGUUUGCUGCCGCAACAAAGCCAAAGGCAUCAUGGGAAAAUAUCUGACUUGCACUGAAACAGGAAAAAAUGUUGAGGAGAAAAACGUUAUCGUGAACAUUUAUAGUCUCUGAUCAGUUUAAUAUAAACAAAAAGGAACACUUUUCACUUCAUACAAGUUUGUAGCCUAUCGGUCUUUGUUUGAGAGACUGUGUUUGAACUGAACCAGCGUUAUUGAUCACCGGGUGACUGAACCAGCGUUAUUGAUCACCGGGAGACUGAACCAGAGUUAUUGAUCACCGGGAGACUGUGUUUGAACUGAACCAGAGUUAUUGAUCACCAGGAGACUGUGUUUGAACUGAACCAGAGUUAUUGAUAACCGGGAGACUGUGUUUGAACUGAACCAGAGUUAUUGAUCACCGGGAGACUGAACCAGAGUUAUUGAUAACCGGGAGACUGUGUUUGAACUGAACCAGCGUUAUUGAUCACCGGGAGACUGUGUUUGAACUGAACCAGCGUUAUUGAUCACCGGGAGACUGUGUUUGAACUGAACCAGAGUUAUUGAUCACCAGGAGACUGUGUUUGAACUGAACCAGAGUUAUUGAUCACCGGGAGACUGUGUUUGAACUGAACCAGCGUUAUUGAUCACCGGGAGACUGUGUUUGAACUGAACCAGAGUUAUUGAUCACCGGGAGACUGAACCAGCGUUAUUGAUAACCGGGAGACUGUGUUUGAACUGAACCAGCGUUAUUGAUCACCGGGAGACUGUGUUUGAACUGAACCAGAGUUAUUGAUCACCGGGAGACUGAACCAGCGUUAUUGAUAACCGGGAGACUGUGUUUGAACUGAACCAGCGUUAUUGAUAACCAGGAGACUGUGUUUGAACUGAACCAGAGUUAUUGAUCACCGGGAGACUGAACCAGAGUUAUUGAUAACCAGGAGACUGUGUUUGAACUGAACCAGAGUUAUUGAUCACCGGGAGACUGUGUUUGAACUGAACCAGAGUUAUUGAUCACCGGGAGACUGUGUUUGAACUGAACCAGAGUUAUUGAUCACCAGGAGAGUGUGUUUGAACUGAACCAGAGUUAUUGAUCACCGGGAGACUGAACCAGAGUUAUUGAUCACCGGGAGACUGAACCAGCGUUAUUGAUCACCGGGAGACUGAACCAGAGUUAUUGAUCACCGGGAGACUGUGUUUGAACUGAACCAGAGUUAUUGAUCACCGGGAGACUGAACCAGCGUUAUUGAUAACCGGGAGACUGAACCAGCGUUAUUGAUAACCGGGAGACUGUGUUUGAACUGAACCAGAGUUAUUGAUCACCAGGAGACUGUGUUUGAACUGAACCAGAGUUAUUGAUCACCGGGAGACUGAACCAGCGUUAUUGAUAACCGGGAGACUGUGUUUGAACUGAACCAGAGUUAUUGAUCACCAGGAGACUGAACCAGCGUUAUUGAUCACCGGGAGACUGAACCAGAGUUAUUGAUCACCGGGAGACUGUGUUUGAACUGAACCAGAGUUAUUGAUCACCGGGAGACUGAACCAGCGUUAUUGAUAACCGGGAGACUGUGUUUGAACUGAACCAGAGUUAUUGAUCACCAGGAGACUGUGUUUGAACUGAACCAGAGUUAUUGAUCACCGGGAGACUGAACCAGCGUUAUUGAUAACCGGGAGACUGUGUUUGAACUGAACCAGAGUUAUUGAUCACCGGGAGACUGAACCAGAGUUAUUGAUCACCGGGAGACUGAACCAGAGUUAUUGAUCACCGGGAGACUGUGUUUGAACUGAACCAGCGUUAUUGAUCACCAGGAGACUGUGUUUGAACUGAACCAGAGUUAUUGAUCACCGGGAGACUGUGUUUGAACUGAACCAGAGUUAUUGAUCACCGGGAGACUGUGUUUGAACUGAACCAGAGUUAUUGAUCACCAGGAGACUGAACCAGAGUUAUUGAUCACCGGGAGACUGUGUUUGAACUGAACCAGAGUUAUUGAUCACCGGGAGACUGUGUUUGAACUGAACCAGAGUUAUUGAUCACCGGGAGACUGUGUUUGAACUGAACCAGAGUUAUUGAUCACCAGGAGACUGUGUUUGAACUGAACCAGAGUUAUUGAUCACCAGGAGACUGAACCAGAGUUAUUGAUCACCGGGAGACUGUGUUUGAACUGAACCAGCGUUAUUGAUCACCGGGAGACUGUGUUUGAACUGAACCAGCGUUAUUGAUCACCGGGAGACUGAAGGAGUCACUGUGAGUGCAAUAAGCCCUGUCCACAACACACACAACUUAACUAGUCCACAUUCCCCAACUAACUUAACUAGUCAAUAGUCAAGAGGAAGGGGCUGGGGUCUAACCAGAGGAUUUUCUUUGGAAUAAAUUUGUCUACGUUAAAAGUUGUGUGUGUGUGUGAGCUGUCAUUGUGAAUAGUGUUAUCAGGGACGUCAUUCUGAAAGGACAAUCUCAGAGAUACCUUACGAGGUCAACAAUCAAUAAGUUUUUUUUUUUCUGACUGAAUUCAACCAUGAUAUUAUUCCGAUAUUAGUUAUUUAAAUCCUCCGCAUCCAGUCUGUUGUAGAAAAAAGGACAAAGCAUUCAUCUCCACAGCGGCGUACUUACACGGUGUGGCCACCAAUCAGGAAGGGUGGCGCCCCCCAAAAAAAGGAUCAAUCACGGUGAUUUAUUAAAUCGUUUUCUGUGACUCUGCUGUUUUUUAAUGUGAUGAUUGAUUACUGAAGUCAUGAGUUUAGUAACUGAAAUGGAAAUACGUGAUUACAUUUAUUAUUUUUUUUGGGGGGGGGGGGGUCCAACUAUCGAUAUCCUACAUAUCCAUCGAUCAUCAAUAAUAUCCAUUUAGUUAGUGCAUGACUAAUUUAUUGGAUUAUAAAUAUAUUAUUUCUUUGAGUAAUAAAACACCUGGGGG